rnacentral:tRNA from 6 species
UUAUUAAUUAUUUUGGCAGAUUAGUGCAUUAAAUUUAGAAUUUAAUUAUGUAAUUUUUACAAAUAAUAC